UAUACGGUGAAACUGCGAAUGGCUCAUUAAAUCAGUUAUCGUUUAUUUGAUAGUACCUUACUACAUGGAUAACCGUGGUAAUUCUAGAGCUAAUACAUGCUAAAAACCUCGACUUCGGAAGGGGUGUAUUUAUUAGAUAAAAAACCAAUGCCCUUCGGGGCUCCUUGGUGAAUCAUAAUAACUUAACGAAUCGCAUGGCCUUGCGCCGGCGAUGGUUCAUUCAAAUUUCUGCCCUAUCAACUUUCGAUGGUAGGAUAGUGGCCUACCAUGGUAGCAACGGGUAACGGGGAAUUAGGGUUCUAUUCCGGAGAGGGAGCCUGAGAAACGGCUACCACAUCCAAGGAAGGCAGCAGGCGCGCAAAUUACCCAAUCCCGAUACGGGGAGGUAGUGACAAUAAAUACUGAUACAGGGCUCUUUUGGGUCUUGUAAUUGGAAUGAGUACAAUUUAAAUCCCUUAACGAGGAACAAUUGGAGGGCAAGUCUGGUGCCAGCAGCCGCGGUAAUUCCAGCUCCAAUAGCGUAUAUUAAAGUUGUUGCAGUUAAAAAGCUCGUAGUUGAACCUUGGGCCUGGCUGGCCGGUCCGCCUCACCGCGUGUACUGGUCCGGCCGGGCCUUUCCUUCUGGGGAACCGCAUGCCCUUCACUGGGCGUGUCGGGGAACCAGGACUUUUACUUUGAAAAAAUUAGAGUGUUCAAAGCAGGCCUUUGCUCGAAUACAUUAGCAUGGAAUAAUAGAAUAGGACGUGCGGUUCUAUUUUGUUGGUUUCUAGGACCGCCGUAAUGAUUAAUAGGGAUAGUCGGGGGCAUCAGUAUUCAAUUGUCAGAGGUGAAAUUCUUGGAUUUAUUGAAGACUAACUACUGCGAAAGCAUUUGCCAAGGAUGUUUUCAUUAAUCAGUGAACGAAAGUUAGGGGAUCGAAGACGAUCAGAUACCGUCGUAGUCUUAACCAUAAACUAUGCCGACUCGGGAUCGGUGCACGUUUCUAUUUUGACUCCAUCGGCACCGUACGAGAAAUCAAAGUU
rnacentral:rRNA from 1 species